GUUUCUCAAUGGAAGCUCUCCAUCCAAGAGCCUGAAGGUAAAGUAGCGCUGCUCGUUGUGGGAUCCAGAAGCUCUGUUUCUCAAUGGAAGCUCUCCAUCCAAGAGCCUGAAGGUAAAGUAGCGCUGCUCGUUGUGGGAUCCAGAAGCUCUGUUUCUCAAUGGAAGCUCUCCAUCCAAGAGCCUGAAGGUAAAGUAGCGCUGCUCGUUGUGGGAUCCAGAAGCUCUGUUUCUCAAUGGAAGCUCUCCAUCCAAGAGCCUGAAGGUAAAGUAGCGCUGCUCGUUGUGGGAUCCAGAAGCUCUGUUUCUCAAUGGAAGCUCUCCAUCCAAGAGCCUGAAGGUAAAGUAGCGCUGCUCGUUGUGGGAUCCAGAAGCUCUGUUUCUCAAUGGAAGCUCUCCAUCCAAGAGCCUGAAGGUAAAGUAGCGCUGCUCGUUGUGGGAUCCAGAAGCUCUGUUUCUCAAUGGAAGCUCUCCAUCCAAGAGCCUGAAGGUAAAGUAGCGCUGCUCGUUGUGGGAUCCAGAAGCUCUGUUUCUGCGUCACUGCUGUUAAAGU